rnacentral:rRNA from 1 species
GACAGAGGGUGCAAACGUUGUUCGGAAUCACUGGGCGUAAAGCGCGUGUAGGCGGCCAGACAAGUCGGGUGUGAAAGCCCACGGCUCAACCGUGGAAGUGCACUCGAAACUGCUUGGCUAGAGUCCUGGAGAGGAAGGUGGAAUACUCGGUGUAGAGGUGAAAUUCGUAGAUAUCGAGUGGAACACCGGUGGCGAAGGCGGCCUUCUGGACAGUGACUGACGCUGAGACGCGAAAGCGUGGGGAGCAAACAGGAUUAGAUACCCCCGUAGUCC